rnacentral:misc_RNA from 1 species
AACGGUCUAUACCUGCGGUACCUGCGGAAGGAUCACUGUUAGAGAUGUGGGGAUUGGUGGGUGAGUGGGGGGAUUGGUGGAAUGGAUCGGUGGAUUCAUCUCAUCUCAUUCUCUCCCUCAUUACCAUUACCAUUAACACGCUUGCUUGUUUGACUGUAACCUAUAAUCACCUAUACAACUUUCAACAAUGGAUCUCU